AAGUAAUACAUUUAAUUGUUUAAAUGAGUUUUGCACUGCUCUCGAUCCUCAGCCCUUUGGCUCAGCAGACGGACUCUAUUGAAGAAAACGGUUGUGUAGUAUGUGCUCUAUGUUACAGUGAGUGUCUUUCUAACUUCAUUGACGACAGCAUCCGUCUUUUUACAGUACGCACACUAAUGUGUAUAUUAUCUGUAAUAGUAAGGCAUAAUGCUAUUUCAGUGUCAGACCUUCAUUGAAAAGAAACCUAUGCGGUGAUCUAUUUGCUCCUGCUCCUCUGACAUUGUUACACUGACUGAUGUUUCCUGCAAUGAUUUAUUUUACUACACUAUUGUUUUGUUUAUUAUCCCCUUAUCUCAGCAAAACAAAUUAAAUUAACUCAUUAUCAUGGGAAACAGAGGUAUAAAAUGUAUGAAAGCAUGGCCCAUUAGGGCUUCCGUACUGCUGCUAUGCUGCUCAUACAGCACAGAACCCCCCACCCAUCCCUUACUAACAUGGGACAUUAAGUGAGCUACUGCAAGUGCAACCUUUGAUUUCCAUGAUUUUCAAAAUCCCAAAAAUGGCCCUAAAGAAAAUCUCACCCUUGUGUUUUGCAUUUCUGCCAAUAGCUGCACUUCAUGUGGUCGGAUUCAUUGUUACUGGGCAAAACCACCACAGAUCAACUUCAUCCUGCGUGGAGAGAACCCUUUUCAAUGCUUUAGCUGAACUUUAUUUGUUGUAUAAAGAAUCUUGGAUGCAAAGGCAGCAGAUCUUUGCUCCUGUUUGGACUCUAAAUAAAACAGGAUGAAGGCAGUGACAAGCCAACAGCCACAGUGUCAGCACUCUCAAACAGUGAGUAAGUGUUACAAGGACAAACUAGUUAUUUUGAUCUAAAUCUUUCAACAACACACACUGGACGACUUACUGUAUACAUAUAUAUGUGUGUGUGUGUGUGUGUGUACCAGCUGACUGCAACAUCAGGAAGGAGGAACAUGAGGAAGAGGAAAAGUAUCAAGGGCUCAAAUAACAACUGGGGCAGAUGUGAAAGGUCAAAGGUCCUCGUGGUAGUAAGAGCUAGUAGCUAGUGGGAGCUGGCAGUGACCCCCAAACUGGGAUUACUGGUGGCUCUAACAGAUUCCAGGAACAACAUCUGAAGCCUCAGUCCAGAAGUGUGCAAUAGGAACAGCUCAGCUACUACACUCACUUUUCUUGUAUACCGUAUUUUUCGGACUAUAAGGCGCACCGGACUAUAAGGCGCACCGGUUUGUUAUUAUUAAUUUUAUUAUUAUUAAGACGCAUUAAGCGAAAUAAAAUAGUCAGAUAAGUCA
rnacentral:lncRNA from 1 species